rnacentral:snoRNA from 1 species
GAGAGGUGAGGAUAAUCCAGCAUGUCUUGAGAUAACCCUAAUCACAUAAGAUCCAACUCUGAUCUCACUACAUAC